rnacentral:rRNA from 1 species
CAAUAGCGUAUAUUAAAGUUGUUGCAGUUAAAAAGCUCGUAGUUGGAUUUCUGGGAGGGUGCCAAUGUCCGUCGUCGUACGUGUUGCAGCGGCGCCCUUCCAUCCUUCUGUUAACGACUUUGGGCAUUCACUUGCCGGAGUCGGGCUCAGAUAUUUUACCUUGAGAAAAUUAGAGUGUUUCAAGCAGGCAUACGCCUUGAAUACAUUAGCAUGGAAUAAUAAGAUAGGACCUCGGUUCUAUUUUGUUGGUUUCUAGAGCUGAGGUAAUUAUUAAUAGGGAUAGUUGGGGGCAUUCAUAUUUAAUUGUCAGAGGUGAAAUUCUUGGAUUUAUGAAAGAUGAACUUCUGCGAAAGCAUUUGCCAAGGAUGUUUUCAUUAAUCAAGAACGAAAGUUAGGGGAUCGAAGACGAUUAGAUACCGU